GUGAACGUUGGCGGUGCGUCUAGUACAUGCAAGUCGAGUGGGUUUAGACCCACGGCGGACGGCUGAGUAACACGUUAGUAACUGCCCCAAACUCAAGGAUAACUAUGAGAAAUCAUAGGUAAUACAGGAUGGUCCCGCAAGGGUAAAGCUUUAUGCGGUUUGGGAGGUGCUUGCGUCCUAUCAGUUAGUUGGUGAGGUAAUGGCUUACCAAGACUAUGACGGGUAACUGGUCUGAGAGGAUGACCAGUCAGAGGGAAACUGAGACACGGUUCCCACUCCUACGGGAGGCAGCAGUAAAGAAUCUUCCACAAUGGACGAAAGUCUGAUGGAGCGACACCGCGUGCAGGAUGAAGGCCCUUGGGUUGUAAACUGCUUUUUUGGGGGAAUAAUUUUGAAUGUACCCUAAGAAUAAGUACCGGCAAAUCAUGU
rnacentral:rRNA from 1 species